rnacentral:lncRNA from 1 species
AAAUGAUCCUAACAACUCUAGAAAAUAAGUAGUACUAACUUCAUAUUAAGUAUGACUUAAACAAGUCAUGCAUUUUGCAAAUGGUAUGGCAGAUUUCUGCUUGACCACACAGUGAAUGCUUUGUCCAAACCACCUGUUUUGCUUUGAACUAUUCUAUUUUGGCCUGGGAAGGGGAAUUACUGCUGAUAUGAUUGGUUAAUGAUUAGUCCUAUUACACCAGGCUUGUAUCCAUUGCUACCUUUUUGUAUGUCUCUGAAUUAUCAAACAGAACAGGAGCCUCCUGACUGAGACUAUGUACUAUUAAUGGAUCAUAUGUAUCCAGAUAUAUUUACAGAUGGAAUACAUUUCAGAAACAUAAAGGACAAUAAAAAAUGGCAGAAUUUACAAUCUUAACAACAUGGUUGCAGAAGCAGAACGGGAAAGUCAUGUAGGCAGUCAAGGUAAUACACACAAUGUAAACAUGUCAUCUAGGACAUGAAGAAAACCUUUUGGGCCAAGUAGUACAGCAUGUUUAGUUAGAUCUAAACAAAUGUGCAUGACUAUAACCCCAAAUCUGUAAUUUCAUUUCUUUCCUUUUCCACAAUUAUCCAAUCUUCAGUUUUACCAGUAGUAUCAGAGACAUUUUCUGCUCUUAAACUCUAGCUAUCUGUGACACUUCCUUCUGGAAAGUGUCCAAAGCUUGAACCCUCCCUAGUUUCUCACACAUCUGUGCAUUAUUAGCCUGUUUCUGGUCAAA